rnacentral:rRNA from 1 species
UACAGGGGGGGCAAGCGUUGUUCGGAAUUACUGGGCGUAAAGGGCUCGUAGGCGGCCAACUAAGUCCGACGUGAAAUCCCAAAGCUUAACUUUGGAACUGCGUCGGAUACUGGAUGGCUUGAAUUCGGGAGAGGGAUGCAGAAUUCCAGGUGUAGCGGUGAAAUGCGUAGAUAUCUGGAGGAAUACCGGUGGCGAAGGCGGCUUUCUGGGUCUUACCUGACGCUGAGGAACGAAAGCCAGGGGAGCGAACGGG